rnacentral:rRNA from 1 species
UGGGGAAUAUUGCGCAAUGGGCGAAAGCCUGACGCAGCGACGCCGCGUGAGGGAUGAAGGUCUUCGGAUCGUAAACCUCUGUCAGCAGGGAAGAAAUUUUUAGUGUGCUAAUCAGCAUUAAAUUGACGGUACCUGCAAAGGAAGCACCGGCUAACUCCGUGCCAGCAGCCGCGGUAAUACGGAGGGUGCGAGCGUUAAUCGGAAUUACUGGGCGUAAAGCGCUCGUAGGUGGUAUGUCAAGUCAAGGGUGAAAUCCCCGCGCUCAACGUGGGAACUGCCUUUGAAACUGGCAGACUGGAGUGUGUGAGAGGAUAGUGGAAUUCCAGGUGUAGGAGUGAAAUCCGUAGAUAUCUGGAGGAACAUCAGUGGCGAAGGCGACUAUCUGGCACAUAACUGACACUGAGGAGCGAAGCGUGGGUAGCAAACAGGAUUAGAUACC